rnacentral:rRNA from 1 species
UACGUAGGGGGCGAGCGUUGUCCGGAAUCAUUGGGCGUAAAGAGCGUGUAGGCGGUUCGGUAAGUCUGCCGUGAAAACCUGGGGCUCAACCCUGGGCGUGCGGUGGAAACUGUCGAGCUAGAGGAUGGUAGAGGGGAGUGGAAUUCCCGGUGUAGCGGUGGAAUGCGCAGAUAUCAGGAGGAACACCAACGGCGAAGGCAGCUCGCUGGGACGGUACUGACGCUAAGGCGCGAAAGCGUGGGGAGCGAACAGG